GAUGAACGCUGGCGGCGUGCCUAAUACAUGCAAGUCGAGCGAACAGAUGAGGAGCUUGCUCCUCUGACGUUAGCGGCGGACGGGUGAGUAACACGUGGAUAACCUACCUAUAAGACUGGGAUAACUUCGGGAAACCGGAGCUAAUACCGGAUAAUAUAUUGAACCGCAUGGUUCAAUAGUGAAAGACGGUUUUGCUGUCACUUAUAGAUGGAUCCGCGCCGCAUUAGCUAGUUGGUAAGGUAACGGCUUACCAAGGCAACGAUGCGUAGCCGACCUGAGAGGGUGAUCGGCCACACUGGAACUGAGACACGAUCCAGACUCCUACGGGAGGCAGCAGUAGGGAAUCUUCCGCAAUGGGCGAAAGCCUGACGGAGCGACGCCGCGUGAGUGAUGAAGGUCUUCGGAUCGUAAAACUCUGUUAUUAGGGAAGAACAAAUGUGUAAGUAACUAUGUACGUCUUGACGGUACCUAAUCAGAAAGCCACGGCUAACUACGUG
rnacentral:rRNA from 1 species